CAGGUCCUUUUUUGGCAACUCAAGAGGAGAGGGAGUUAAUUCUUCUUGUGAAGUUGCCUUAAUUAUGUACAACUUCAAUCCUAGAUUUGGUAGUAAAGUCCAACAUAUCAAUUGGACAAAAAAUGUGGAACAGUUUUUAGGCGUUCUACCGAAUUUACCUUUCAACGGAGAUAAUUUAAAUCAACAUACCAUUGUAGAAGGUUUGGCA